rnacentral:tmRNA from 1 species
GGGGGUGACUGGUUUCGACUCGGGACGGUAGUCCCAGGAGAAGCGGGUCGAGGAUCCGAGGACAUCUCGUUAACGAAUCUCGGGAACCUAUAAGUGCCGAUUCCAAUCGCACUGACUUCGCUCUGGCUGCCUGAGCAGCUAACGAAGGGUCAGCCCGGACGCGCCUUCGGUCCGGUUCCUGGCCUCAUUUAGAAGGCUCGCUGCGGCAACUGGGUUCCAGGGUUGUCGCGGGACUUUACUGGAACUGGGCUCGUCCACCACUUGCUGACGUGAGGGUGGGAGUCAAGCAGAACGCCUAGUCAGCUGCACCCGGAGAAGUCCUGGGUCACCUCUUGAGGACGCGGGUUCAAUUCCCGCCACCUCCACGA